UACGGAGGGUGCGAGCGUUAAUCGGAAUUACUGGGCGUAAAGAGUGCGUAGGUGGUUGAUUAAGUUAUCUGUGAAAUCCCUGGGCUCAACCUGGGCAGGUCAGAUGAUACUGGUUAACUCGAGUAUGGGAGAGGGUAGUGGAAUUUCCGGUGUAGCGGUGAAAUGCGUAGAGAUCGGAAGGAACACCAGUGGCGAAGGCGGCUACCUGGCCUAAUACUGACACUGAGGCACGAAGGCCAGGGGAGCAAACGGG
rnacentral:rRNA from 1 species